AUUGUAGCCCGCAGCUUGCUCUGGCACAUGUAUAUUUGUUACGGCUGUAAAGCACUGGGCCGAUUCCUGUGCCACAUCUUGCAAUGACUUGGCUUAUGUUCACUCACAGAUGGUUACAUAAGCAAUAAUUAAAAUUGUCUUAAAAUUGACUUCGUUUCCUGGUAGUAUCUGAUAUGAAUUAACUAAUGCUACACAUUGAAUGUAGCGAAUUUGUCAAUAACAACAUAUCUGCGGUAAAAAAAAUAAAAGUGCCAUAUAAGAAAAAACAUUCUCUAAUAUUUAUAAUAUCAAAUCUAUUUAUAAGUAAUGUAGUAAUUCAUUCUUUUACACGCUUUCAUGUAUUUUAAACGCGCUUCACUGCGCUGUGAUUCAUUCAUGCUCGCGCGCGGCGGUGGGAGGGGUCUCGUACCUGUGGGAGUGGGUGAAUCCGCCAUGUUUGUGCGGUUUGGAGCGGACACGAGCAAAACAAUGGAUUAUUUACCAAGAGAUAUUAAAGUUUGAGGUCAUUUCGACAACAUUCUGCAUUGAUUAUGUGGAUCUCGAGUGUUUACGCUGCACUAAACUUUGACGAGCAACACUCCGAUCUGCAAACAGAGCUGAGGAAGAGGAGGAUGAUGGCGGUCCUGCAUUCACGAGAAAGAGCAGGUUUGUUUGUUUUUAGUUUUCACGCUUAUAUAUUUAUAUAAAUGCAAUUGUAAUAAGCAAAAGUUGUUUUAUUCCAUGUUUCUUCAAGAAGGUGAGUGAAGAGGAUGUUUAUACUGUCAUAGAUCAUUGUUUUCAAAUAACCUACAUACGCUAGUCACAUAAGCUAGUUUCACUGUUUUUUUUGUUAUGAUGAGAAUACUGCAAUCCGGUGCAUUAGUAUGUCUUAGAUCAUCUUCAGAUGCUAAAUGCAAGCAGAUUUUACAUUUACAGAUGCUCAUGACUGCUAAAACAUGGACAACACAAACACAAUCAUAGCUUUUGUUGCUACUAGUUGCUUCUUCACUCAGCAUGUUAAGACGCACAAGAAUUAGUGAUUAUUUCUCAUAACAUGCCAUAAAUUGCUUUUAAUAUUGCUGUGUUUUGUAGUAAUCAAGAGUGUUAUCAUCGCUGAAGAAAUGGCAGAUUUUAAUCCUCAGACACCGAGCAGUGCAAGCCCUGAAGAAAUAACACCAUAGACAUCAUCUUCUCUGACUGAACUAGCAAGGAGAUGUUGGAGCCAAUGAGAAAGCUAGCUGAACUGGAUGCUUACUGAAGAGUGAGCUUCAACACUUAAGGUUUGUGCAAAGUUACACCAUACACCAACAGACUCUGCGUGACAUUUUAAAUGUUUAUGAUCUUCAGGUGAGUUGAAAUUUGUCAACACUUACUACCUCCAUCACUGUCUUCACUGUAUAUACAAUAAAGUUGGCUUGCUUGUUUAACAUGUUAAUUUUUGCUUGAUUUUGAAGAGUGUGCAUGAUGUCAACAUGAAACACACCGUAGUCCUCCAUGCUCCUCAGUGUACCUAUGAGGAGGACCCACAAUUCUUCAAGAAAUGUAAGUGUUCAAUGCAUUAACAGAAUUGCUAGUAUCAGUGAAUGUAACGGUCUACUUUUAGUCUACUGAGUGAAACUUACAGUUGGACCCUCUAUGCUUAUUUCAGGAGGAGUUGGGAGAGCCAGAUAUCACUGAUUCUGUCAUUGUGGUCAAUGAAACGAAAGCACAAGUCCUUCAAGCACUGCAGUUGUGAUAGAAGAUGAUCUUCAGUUUUAUAAUAAAAAACUUUUCAAAAAAAUCUUCAAUUGUACAGCUGGAGGUUUAUUUUAUGUAUUUAUUUUUUAGGUGUUAUUGUUGUUUGUUUUUUGAGUUAGUAUUUUUAUGUAAUGUCCUGCAGAGGUGCCUGAUCCUGUUCCUGGAGAUCUACCUGCCUGCAGAGUUCAGCUAAGGUCUUCAGCUAAUUAUUUUGCUAAGUACAACAGCAAAACCUCUGGCACUACACAAACAGGCAGACCAGCGCUCUGGUACAAAGAUGUCUGCAAGCGUGACCUGAAAGCCGGAAGCCUGAAUCCUACAGACUUAGAAGCUACCACCGCAAACCGUGUCAGCUGGCGGCCUUGUACGUGUGACUUAUGUGUAUGUAUGUGUUUGUUAGUUUAGUUAUGUGUUUGUGAUUUAGUUAAUAAAACUUGUGCACAAUACAUAUUUGGUUCUGACUCUCUGUCUGCAAUAGAUUGUCUCUUAAAUGAUCAGAUCUUAUUACCAGCUCUAAGCACUUUAAAUGCUAAGAAAGAAUUAUUUCUCUGUGGCAGUGACAAAUACCAUUCUCUUAGAAUUAAUUAAUAAUCAAUACUGAGUGUUCACAGGAGGAACUGAUUAAAAUAUUCAUAAUUAAUCAUAAUUAAUAAUCAUAGUUAUGAAUAAUUAUUCAUAUUUCCCCUUUGAGUUAAUUCGUUACAGGUGUCACAUUAUACUCUUAUUUUGAUGUUCCAUUUUGUUUCCCUUUGUUCCUGUUUCCCUGCUCUGUUUAGUUUUGGUUUCCUUGGCUUCUGAUUAUGUCACUGUUUGUUAUCACUGUUAUCUCCUUAGUAUUUAAGUUCUGAUAUUGGUUCUGUUCCUCAUCUGGUAUUAACUUGUGUUUACUCCUGUGAUUCCUGGAUAACUGAGUUUCAUUUGAUUAAAGGACUAGACCUAUAGCUAAUUUAGCUAAUCCCGUCUUCUGCUCAUUCUUGCUGAGUACAUUACAGAAUACUGGACCCUCAAAACGAGUAUAGUUAAAGGACUAGUUUACUUUCAAAUAAAUUUUUCCUGAUAAUUUACUCACCCCCAUGUCAUCCAAGAUGUUCAUGUC